AACCUGGGAACUGCAUUCGAAACUGGCAGGCUUGAGUCUCGUAGAGGGGGGUAGAAUUCCAGGUGUAGCGGUGAAAUGCGUAGAGAUCUGGAGGAAUACCGGUGGCGAAGGCGGCCCCCUGGACGAAGACUGACGCUCAGGUGCGAAAGCGUGGGGAGCAAACAGGAUUAGAUACCCUGGUAGUCCACGCCGUAAACGAUGUCUACUUGGAGGCUGUGCCCUUGAGGCGUGGCUUCCGGAGCUAACGCGUUAAGUAGACCGCCUGGGGAGUACGGCCGCAAGGUUAAAACUCAAAGGAAUUGAC
rnacentral:rRNA from 1 species